rnacentral:rRNA from 1 species
CCUACGGGUGGCUGCAGUGGGGAAUCUUAGACAAUGGGCGCAAGCCUGAUCUAGCCAUGCCGCGUGAGCGAUGAAGGCCUUAGGGUUGUAAAGCUCUUUCAGGGGGGAAGAUAAUGACUGUACCCCCAGAAGAAGCCCCGGCUAACUCCGUGCCAGCAGCCGCGGUAAUACGGAGGGGGCUAGCGUUGUUCGGAAUUACUGGGCGUAAAGCGCACGUAGGCGGACGGAGAAGUCAGAGGUGAAAUCCCAGGGCUCAACCUUGGAACUGCCUUUGAAACUUUCUGUCUUGAGGUCGAGAGAGGUGAGUGGAAUUCCGAGUGUAGAGGUGAAAUUCGUAGAUAUUCGGAGGAACACCAGUGGCGAAGGCGGCUCACUGGCUCGAUACUGACGCUGAGGUGCGAAAGCGUGGGGAGCAAACAGGAUUAGAUACCCCAGUAGUC